CCCUAGCUCCAACCCUAACCCUAACCCAAACCCUAAGUAGACUUUUCAAAAAACUUCCCCCAAAAUUAGGUUCUAUAGACUCCCCGUGCCCUGAAACGUGCUCCUAACACAAUUCUGGAAGGUGAAAAAUUGGGUUGGCACUAACCCUAACCCUAACCCUAACCCAUGCAUUCCUAUGGGAAAAAAUAAAUUUUUUUUAGGAACGUCCUAGAGACUCGGGAGUUGGUUCAUUGCACUCAGAAAAAUCCUAGCUGCAAGCCCAACCCUAACCCUAGCUCCAACACUAACCCUAACUCCAACCCUAACCCUAACCCAAAACCUAGCUCCAACCCUAACCCUAACCCUAACCCAUGCAUUCCUAUGGGAAAAAAUCAAAUUUUUUUAGGAACGUCCUAGAGACUCGGGAGUUGGUUCAUUGCACUCAGAAAAAUCCUAGCUCCAAGCCCAACCCUAACCCUAGCUCCAACACUAACCCUAACUCCAACCCUAACCCUAACCCUAACCCUAGCUCCAACCCUAACCCUAACCCUAACCCAUGCAUUCCCAUGGGAAAAAAACAAUUUUUUUUAGGAACGUCCUAGAGACUCGGGAGUUGGUUCAUUGCACUCAGAAAAAUCCUAGCUCCAAGCCCAACCCUAACCCUAGCUCCAACACUAACCCUAACUCCAACCCUAACCCUAACCCUAACCCUAACCCUAGCUCCAACCCUAACCCUAACCUUAGCUCCAACCUUAACCCUAACCCUAACCCUAACCCUAGCCCCAACCCUAAGCCUAGCUCUAACCCUAACCCUAGCUCCACCCUAAUCCUAACCCUAACCCUAACCCUAGCUCCAACCCUAACCCUAACCCUAACCCAUGCAUUCCUAUGGAAAAAAAUCUAAUUUUUUUAGGAACGUCAUAGAGACUCGGGAGUUGGUUCAUUGCACUCAGAAAAAUCCUAGCUCCAAGCCCAACCCUAACCCUAGCUCCAACACUAACCCUAACCCUAACUCCAACCCUAACCCUAACCCUAACCCUAACCCUAGCUCCAACCCUAACCCUAACCCUAACCCAUGCAUUCCUAUGGGGAAAAAACAAAUUUUUUUAGGAACGUCCUAGAGACUCGGGAGUUGGUUCAUUUCACUCAGAAAAAUCCUAGCUCCAAGCCCAACCCUAACCCUAGCUCCAACACUAACCCUAACUCCAACCCUAACCCUAACCCUAACCCUAGCUCCAACCCUAACCCUAACCCUAACCCAUGCAUUCCUAUGGGAAAAAAUCAAUUUUUUUUAGGAAGGUCCUAGAGACUCGGGAGUUGGUUCAUUGCACUCAGAAAAAUCCUAGCUCCAAGCCCAACCCUAACCCUAGCUCCAACACUAACCCUAACUCCAACCCUAACCCUAACCCUAACCCUAGCUCCAACCCUAACCCUAACCCUAACCCAUGCAUUCCUAUGGGGAAAAAUCAAUUUUUUUUAGGAACGUCCUAGAGACUCUGGAGUUGGUUCAUUGCACUCAGAAAAAUCCUAGCUGCAAGCCCAACCCUAACCCUAGCUCCAACCCUAACCCUAACCCUAACCCAUGCAUUCCUAUGGAAAAAAAUCAAAUUUUUUUAGGAACGUCAUAGAGACUCGGGAGUUGGUUCAUUGCACUCAGAAAAAUCCUAGCUCCAAGCCCAACCCUAACCCUAGCUCCAACACUAACCCUAACUCCAACCCUAACCCUAACCCUAACCCUAGCUCCAACCCUAACCCUAACCCUAACCCAUGCAUUCCUAUGGGAAAAAAUCAAAUUUUUUUAGGAACGUCCUAGAGACUCGGGAGUUGGUUCAUUUCACUCAGAAAAAUCCUAGCUCCAAGCCCAACCCUAACCCUAGCUCCAACACUAACCCUAACUCCAACCCUAACCCUAGCUCCAACCCUAACCCUAACCCUAACCCAUGCAUUCCCAUGGAAAAAAAUAAAUUUUUUUAGGAACGUUCUCUAGACUCAGGAGUUGGUUCAUUGCACUCAGAAAAAUCCUAGCUCCAAGCCCAACCCUAACCCUAGCUCCAACACUAACCCUAACUCCAACCCUAACCCCAACCCUAACCCUAGCUCCAACCCUAACCCUAGCCCUAACCCAUGCAUUCCUAUGGGAAAAAAAUCAAUUUUUUUUAGGAACGUCCUAGAGACUCGGGAGUUGGUUCAUUGCACUCAGAAAAAUCCUAGCUGCAAGCCCAACCCUAACCCUAGCUCCAACACUAACCCUAACUCCAACCCUAACCCUAACCCUAACCCUAGCUCCAACCCUAACCCUAACCCAUGCAUUCCUAUGGGAAAAAAUCAAAUUUUUUUAGGAAAGUCCUAGAGACUCGGGAGUUGGUUCAUUGCACUCAGAAAAAUCCUAGCUCCAAGCCCAACCCUAACCCUAGCUCCAACACUAACCCUAACUCCAACCCUAACCCUAACCCUAACCCUAGCUCCAACCCUAACCCUAACCCUAACCCUAACCCAUGCAUUCCUAUGGGAAAAAAUCAAAUUUUUUUAGGAACGUCCUAGAGACUCGGGAGUUGGUUCAUUGCACUCAGAAAAAUCCUAGCUCCAAGCCCAACCCUAACCCUAGCUCCAACACUAACCCUAACUCCAACCCUAACCCUAACCCUAACCCUAGCUCCAACCCUAACCCUAACCCUAACCCAUGCAUUCCUAUGGGAAAAAAUCAAUUUUUUUAGGAACGUCCUAGAGACUCGGGAGUUGGUUCAUUGCACUCAGAAAAAUCCUAGCUCCAAGCCCAACCCUAACCCUAGCUCCAACACUAACCCUAACUCCAACCCUAACCCUAACCCUAACCCUAGCUCCAACCCUAACCCUAACCCUAACCCAUGCAUUCCUAUGGGAAAAAAUCAAUUUUUUUUAGGAACGUCCUAGAGACUCUGGAGUUGGUUCAUUGCACUCAGAAAAAUCCUAGCUGCAAGCCCAACCCUAACCCUAGCUCCAACACUAACCCUAACUCCAACCCUAACCCUAACCCUAACCCUAGCUCCAACCCUAACCCUAACCCUAACCCAUGCAUUCCUAUGGGAAAAAAUCAAAUUUUUUUAGGAAGGUCCUAGAGACUCGGGAGUUGGUUCAUUGCACUCAGAAAAAUCCUAGCUGCAAGCCCAACCCUAACCCUAGCUCCAACACUAACCCUAACUCCAACCCUAACCCUAACCCUAACCCUAGCUCCAACCCUAACCCUAACCCUAACCCAUGCAUUCCUAUGGGAAAAAAUCAAUUUUUUUUAGGAAGGUCCUAGAGACUCUGGAGUUGGUUCAUUGCACUCAGAAAAAUCCUAGCUGCAAGCCCAACCCUAACCCUAGCUCCAACACUAACCCUAACUCCAACCCUAACCCUAACCCUAACCCUAGCUCCAACCCUAACCCUAACCCUAACCCAUGCAUUCCUAUGGAAAAAAAUCAAAUUUUUUUAGGAACGUCAUAGAGACUCGGGAGUUGGUUCAUUGCACUCAGAAAAAUCCUAGCUCCAAGCCCAACCCUAACCCUAGCUCCAACACUAACCCUAACUCCAACCCUAACCCUAACCCUAACCCUAACCCUAGCUCCAACCCUAACCCUAACCCUAACCCAUGCAUUCCUAUGGGAAAAAAUCAAAUUUUUUUAGGAACGUGCUAGAGACUCGGGAGUUGGUUCAUUUCACUCAGAAAAAUCCUAGCUCCAAGCCCAACCCUAACCCUAGCUCCAACACUAACCCUAACUCCAACCCUAACCCUAACCCUAACCCUAGCUCCAACCCUAACCCUAACCCUAACCCAUGCAUUCCUAUGGGAAAAAAUCAAAUUUUUUUAGGAACGUGCUAGAGACUCGGGAGUUGGUUCAUUUCACUCAGAAAAAUCCUAGCUCCAAGCCCAACCCUAACCCUAGCUCCAACACUAACCCUAACUCCAACCCUAACCCUAACCCUAACCCUAGCUCCAACCCUAACCCUAACCCUAACCCAUGCAUUCCCAUGGAAAAAAACAAAUUUAUUUUAGGAACGUUCUCUAGACUCAGGAGUUGGUUCAUUGCACUCAGAAAAAUCCUAGCUCCAAGCCCAACCCUAACCCUAGCUCCAACACUAACCCUAACUCCAACCCUAACCCUAACCCUAACCCUAGCUCCAACCCUAACCCUAACCCUAACCCAUGCAUUCCUAUGGGAAAAAAAUCAAUUUUUUUUAGGAACGUCCUAGAGACUCGGGAGUUGGUUCAUUGCACUCAGAAAAAUCCUAGCUGCAAGCCCAACCCUAACCCUAGCUCCAACACUAACCCUAACUCCAACCCUAACCCUAACCCUAACCCUAGCUCCAACCCUAACCCUAACCCAUGCAUUCCUAUGGGAAAAAAUCAAAUUUUUUUAGGAAAGACCUAGAGACUCGGGAGUUGGUUCAUUGCACUCAGAAAAAUCCUAGCUCCAAGCCCAACCCUAACCCUAGCUCCAACACUAACCCUAACCCUAACCCAUGCAUUCCUAUGGGAGAAAAAUCAAUUUUUUUUAGGAACGUCCUAGAGACUCGGGAGUUGGUUCAUUGCACUAAGAAAAAUCCUAGCUCCAAGCCCAACCCUAACCCUAGCUCCAACACUAACCCUAACUCCAACCCUAACCCUAACCCUAACCCUAGCUCCAACCCUAACCCUAACCCUAACCCUAACCCAUGCAUUCCUAUGGGAAAAAAUCAAAUUUUUUUAGGAACGUCCUAGAGACUCGGGAGUUGGUUCAUUGCAAUCAGAAAAAUCCUAGCUCCAAGCCCAACCCUAGCCCUAGCUCCAACACUAACCCUAACUCCAACCCUAACCCUAACCCUAACCCUAGCUCCAACCCUAACCCUAACCCUUACCCAUGCAUUCCUAUGGGAAAAAAUCAAUUUUUUUUAGGAACGUCCUAGAGACUCGGGAGUUGGUUCAUUGCAAUCAGAAAAAUCCUAGCUCCAAGCCCAACCCUAGCCCUAGCUCCAACACUAACCCUAACUCCAACCCUAACCCUAACCCUAACCCUAGCUCCAACCCUAACCCUAACCCUUACCCAUGCAUUCCUAUGGGAAAAAAUCAAUUUUUUUUAGGAACGUCCUAGAGACUCGGGAGUUGGUUCAUUGCACUCAGAAAAAUCCUAGCUCCAAGCCCAACCCUAACCCUAGCUCCAACACUAACGCUAACUCCAACCCUAACCCUAACCCUAACCCUAGCUCCAACCCUAACCCUAACCCUAACCCAUGCAUUCCUAUGGGAAAAAAUCAAAUUUUUUUAGGAAGGUCCUAGAGACUCGGGAGUUGGUUCAUUGCACUCAGAAAAAUCCUAGCUCCAAGCCCAACCCUAACCCUAGCUCCAACACUAACCCUAACUCCAACCCUAACCCUAACCCUAACCCUAGCUCCAACCCUAACCCUAACCCUAACCCAUGCAUUCCUAUGGGAAAAAAUCAAUUUUUUUUAGGAACGUCCUAGAGACUCUGGAGUUGGUUCAUUGCACUCAGAAAAAUCCUAGCUGCAAGCCCAACCCUAACCCUAGCUCCAACACUAACCCUAACUCCAACCCUAACCCUAACCCUAACCCUAGCUCCAACCCUAACCCUAACCCUAACCCAUGCAUUCCUAUGGGAAAAAAUCAAAUUUUUUUAGGAACGUCCUAGAGACUCGGGAGUUGGUUCAUUGCACUCAGAAAAAUCCUAGCUCCAAGCCCAACCCUAACCCUAGCUCCAACACUAACCCUAACUCCAACCCUAACCCUAACCCUAACCCUAGCUCCAACCCUAACCCUAACCCUAACCCAUGCAUUCCUAUGGGAAAAAAUCAAAUUUUUUUAGGAAGGUCCUAGAGACUCGGGAGUUGGUUCAUUGCACUCAGAAAAAUCCUAGCUCCAAGCCCAACCCUAACCCUAGCUCCAACACUAACCCUAACUCCAACCCUAACCCUAACCCUAACCCUAGCUCCAACCCUAACCCUAACCCUAACCCAUGCAUUCCUAUGGGAAAAAAUCAAUUUUUUUUAGGAACAUCCUAGAGACUCGGGAGUUGGUUCAUUGCACUCAGAAAAAUCCUAGCUCCAAGCCCAACCCUAACCCUAGCUCCAACACUAACCCUAACUCCAACCCUAACCCUAACCCUAACCCUAACCCUAGCUCCAACCCUAACCCUAACCCUAACCCAUGCAUUCCUAUGGGAAAAAAUCAAAUUUUUUUAGGAAGGUCCUAGAGACUCGGGAGUUGGUUCAUUGCACUCAGAAAAAUCCUAGCUCCAAGCCCAACCCUAACCCUAGCUCCAACACUAACCCUAACUCCAACCCUAACCCUAACCCUAACCCUAGCUCCAACCCUAACCCUAACACUAACCCAUGCAUUCCUAUGGGAAAAAAUCAAUUUUUUUAGGAACGUCCUAGAGACUCGGGAGUUGGUUCAUUGCACUCAGAAAAAUCCUAGCUGCAAGCCCAACCCUAACCCUAGCUCCAACACUAACCCUAACUCCAACCCUAACCCUAACCCUAACCCUAGCUCCAACCCUAACCCUAACCCUAACCCAUGCAUUCCUAUGGGAAAAAAAUCAAAUUUUUUUAGGAACGUCCUAGAGACUCGGGAGUUGGUUCAUUGCACUCAGAAAAAUCCUAGCUCCAAGCCCAACCCUAACCCUAGCUCCAACACUAACCCUAACUCCAACCCUAACCCUAACCCUAACCCUAGCUCCAACCCUAACCCUAACCCUAACCCAUGCAUUCCUAUGGGAAAAAAUCAAUUUUUUUUAGGAAACUUCCUAGAGACUCGGAAGUUGGUUCAUUGCACUCAGAAAAAUCCUAGCUCCAAGCCCAACCCUAACCCUAGCUCCAACACUAACCCUAACUCCAACCCUAACCCUAACCCUAACCCUAGCUCCAACCCUAACCCUAACCCUUACCCAUGCAUUCCUAUGGGAAAAAAUCAAAUUUUUUUAGGAACGUCCUAGAGACUCGGGAGUUGGUUCAUUGCACUCAGAAAAAUCCUAGCUCCAAGCCCAACCCUAACCCUAGCUCCAACACUAACCCUAACUCCAACCCUAACCCUAACCCUAACCCUAGCUCCAACCCUAACCCUAACCCUUACCCAUGCAUUCCUAUGGGAAAAAAUCAAAUUUUUUUAGGAACGUCCUAGAGACUCGGGAGUUGGUUCAUUGCACUCAGAAAAAUCCUAGCUCCAAGCCCAACCCUAACCCUAGCUCCAACACUAACCCUAACUCCAACCCUAACCCUAACCCUAGCUCCAACCCUAACCCUAACCCUAACCCAUGCAUUCCUAUGGGAAAAAAUCUAAUUUUUUUAGGAACGUCCUAGAGACUCGGGAGUUGGUUCAUUGCACUCAGAAAAAUCCUAGCUCCAAGCCCAACCCUAACCCUAGCUCCAACACUAACCCUAACUCCAACCCUAACCCUAACCCUAACCCUAGCUCCAACCCUAACCCUAACCCUAACCCAUGCAUUCCUAUGGGAAAAAAUCAAAUUUUUUUAGGAACGUCCUAGAGACUCGGGAGUUGGUUCAUUGCACUCAGAAAAAUCCUAGCUCCAAGCCCAACCCUAACCCUAGCUCCAACACUAACCCUAACUCCAACCCUAACCCUAACCCUAACCCUAGCUCCAACCCUAACCCUAACCCUAACCCAUGCAUUCCUAUGGGAAAAAAUCAAAUUUUUUUAGGAAGGUCCUAGAGACUCGGGAGUUGGUUCAUUGCACUCAGAAAAAUCCUAGCUCCAAGCCCAACCCUAACCCUAGCUCCAACACUAACCCUAACUCCAACCCUAACCCUAACCCUAACCCUAGCUCCAACCCUAACCCUAACCCUAACCCAUGCAUUCCUAUGGGAAAAAAAUCAAUUUUUUUUAGGAACGUCCUAGAGACUCGGGAGUUGGUUCAUUGCACUCAGAAAAAUCCUAGCUCCAAGCCCAACCCUAACCCUAGCUCCAACACUAACCCUAACUCCAACCCUAACCCUAACCCUAACCCUAGCUCCAACCCUAACCCUAACCCUAACCCAUGCAUUCCUAUGGUAAAAAAUCAAUUUUUUUUAGGAACGUCCUAGAGACUCGGGAGUUGGUUCAUUGCACUCAGAAAAAUCCUAGCUCCAAGCCCAACCCUAACCCUAGCUCCAACACUAACCCUAACUCCAACCCUAACCCUAACCCUAACCCUAGCUCCAACCCUAACCCUAACCCUAACCCAUGCAUUCCUAUGGGAAAAAAUCAAUUUUUUUAGGAACGUCCUAGAGACUCGGGAGUUGGUUCAUUGCACUCAGAAAAAUCCUAGCUCCAAGCCCAACCCUAACCCUAGCUCCAACACUAACCCUAACUCCAACCCUAACCCUAACCCUAACCCUAGCUCCAACCCUAACCCUAACCCUAACCCAUGCAUUCCUAUGGGAAAAAAUAAAAUUUUUUUAGGAACGUCCUAGAGACUCGGGAGUUGGUUCAUUGCACUCAGAAAAAUCCUAGCUCCAAGCCCAACCCUAACCCUAACUCCAACACUAACCCUAACUCCAACCCUAACCCUAACCCUAACCCUAGCUCCAACCCUAACCCUAACCCUAACCCAUGCAUUCCUAUGGGAAAAAAUCAAAUUUUUUUAGGAAGGUCCUAGAGACUCGGGAGUUGGUUCAUUGCACUCAGAAAAAUCCUAGCUCCAAGCCCAACCCUAACCCUAGCUCCAACACUAACCCUAACUCCAACCCUAACCCUAACCCUAACCCUAGCUCCAACCCUAACCCUAACCCUAACCCAUGCAUUCCUAUGGGAAAAAAUCAAAUUUUUUUAGGAACGUCCUAGAGACUCGGGAGUUGGUUCAUUGCACUCAGAAAAAUCCUAGCUCCAAGCCCAACCCUAACCCUAGCUCCAACACUAACCCUAACUCCAACCCUAACCCUAACCCUAACCCUAGCUCCAACCCUAACCCUAACCCUAACCCAUGCAUUCCUAUGGGAAAAAAAUCAAAUUUUUUUAGGAAGGUCCUAGAGACUCGGGAGUUGGUUCAUUGCACUCAGAGAAAUCCUAGCUCCAAGCCCAACCCUAACCCUAGCUCCAACACUAACCCUAACUCCAACCCUAACCCUAACCCUAGCUCCAACCCUAACCCUAACCCUAACCCUAACCCAUGCAUUCCUAUGGGAAAAAAUCAAUUUUUUUUAGGAACGUCCUAGAGACUCGGGAGUUGGUUCAUUGCACUCAGAAAAAUCCUAGCUCCAAGCCCAACCCUAACCCUAGCUCCAACACUAACCCUAACUCCAACCCUAACCCUAACCCUAACCCUAGCUCCAACCCUAACCCUAACACUAACCCAUGCAUUCCUAUGGGAAAAAAACAAUUUUUUUUAGGAACGUCCUAGAGACUCGGGAGUUGGUUCAUUGCACUCAGAAAAAUCCUAGCUCCAAGCCCAACCCUAACCCUAGCUCCAACACUAACCCUAACUCCAACCCUAACCCUAACCCUAACCCUAGCUCCAACCCUAACCCUAACCCUAACCCAUGCAUUCCUAUGGGAAAAAAUCAAUUUUUUUUAGGAACGUCCUAGAGACUCGGGAGUUGGUUCAUUGCACUCAGAAAAAUCCUAGCUCCAAGCCCAACCCUAACCCUAGCUCCAACACUAACCCUAACUCCAACCCUAACCCUAACCCUAACCCUAGCUCCAACCCUAACCCUAACCCUAACCCAUGCAUUCCUAUGGGAAAAAAUCAAAUUUUUUUAGGAACGUCCUAGAGACUCGGGAGUUGGUUCAUUGCACUCAGAAAAAUCCUAGCUGCAAGCCCAACCCUAACCCUAGCUCCAACACUAACCCUAACUCCAACCCUAACCCUAACCCUAACCCUAACCCUAGCUCCAACCCUAACCCUAACCCUAACCCAUGCAUUCCUAUGGGAAAAAAUCAAAUUUUUUUAGGAACGUCCUAGAGACUCGGGAGUUGGUUCAUUGCACUCAGAAAAAUCCUAGCUCCAAGCCCAACCCUAACCCUAGCUCCAACACUAACCCUAACUCCAACCCUAACCCUAACCCUAACCCUAGCUCCAACCCUAACCCUAACCCUAACCCAUGCAUUCCUAUGGGAAAAAAUCAAUUUUUUUUAGGAACGUCCUAGAGACUCGGGAGUUGGUUCAUUGCACUCAGAAAAAUCCUAGCUCCAAGCCCAACCCUAACCCUGGCUCCAACACUAACCCUAACUCCAACCCUAACCCUAACCCUAACCCUAGCUCCAACCCUAACCCUAACCCUAACCCAUGCAUUCCUAUGGGAAAAAAUCAAAUUUUUUUAGGAACGUCCUAGAGACUCGGGAGUUGGUUCAUUGCACUCAGAAAAAUCCUAGCUCCAAGCCCAACCCUAACCCUAGCUCCAACACUAACCCUAACUCCAACCCUAACCCUAACCCUAUCCCUAGCUCCAACCCUAACCCUAACCCUAACCCAUGCAUUCCUAUGGGAAAAAAUCAAUUUUUUUUAGGAACGUCCUAGAGACUCGGGAGUUGGUUCAUUGCACUCAGAAAAAUCCUAGCUCCAAGCCCAACCCUAACCAUGGCUCCAACACUAACCCUAACUCCAACCCUAACCCUAACCCUAACCCUAGCUCCAACCCUAACCCUAACACUAACCCAUGCAUUCCUAUGGGAAAAAAUCAAAUUUUUUUAGGAACGUCCUAGAGACUCGGGAGUUGGUUCAUUGCACUCAGAAAAAUCCUAGCUCCAAGCCCAACCCUAACCCUAGCUCCAACACUAACCCUAACUCCAACCCUAACCCUAACCCUAACCCUAGCUCCAACCCUAACCCUAACCCUAACCCAUGCAUUCCUAUGGGAAAAAAUCAAUUUUUUUUAGGAACGUCCUAGAGACUCGGGAGUUGGUUCAUUGCACUCAGAAAAAUCCUAGCUCCAAGCCCAACCCUAACCCUAGCUCCAACACUAACCCUAACUCCAACCCUAACCCUAACCCUAACCCUAGCUCCAACCCUAACCCUAACCCUAACCCAUGCAUUCCUAUGGGAAAAAAUCAAAUUUUUUUAGGAACGUCCUAGAGACUCGGGAGUUGGUUCAUUGCACUCAGAAAAAUCCUAGCUGCAAGCCCAACCCUAACCCUAGCUCCAACACUAACCCUAACUCCAACCCUAACCCUAACCCUAACCCUAACCCUUGCUCCAACCCUAACCCUAACCCUAACCCAUGCAUUCCUAUGGGAAAAAAAUCAAAUUUUUUAGGAAGGUCCUAGAGACUCGGGAGUUGGUUCAUUGCACUCAGAAAAAUCCUAGCUCCAAGCCCAACCCUAACCCUAGCUCCAACACUAACCCUAACUCCAACCCUAACCCUAACCCUAACCCUAGCUCCAACCCUAACCCUAACCCUAACCCAUGCAUUCCUAUGGGAAAAAAUCAAUUUUUUUUAGGAACGUCCUAGAGACUCGGGAGUUGGUUCAUUGCACUCAGAAAAAUCCUAGCUCCAAGCCCAACCCUAACCCUAGCUCCAACACUAACCCUAACUCCAACCCUAACCCUAACCCUAACCCUAGCUCCAACCCUAACCCUAACCCUAACCCAUGCAUUCCUAUGGGAAAAAAUCAAAUUUUUUUAGGAACGUCCUAGAGACUCGGGAGUUGGUUCAUUGCACUCAGAAAAAUCCUAGCUCCAAGCCCAACCCUAACCCUAGCUCCAACACUAACCCUAACUCCAACCCUAACCCUAACCCUAACCCUAGCUCCAACCCUAACCCUAACCCUAACCCAUGCAUUCCUAUGGGAAAAAAUCAAUUUUUUUUAGGAACGUCCUAGAGACUCGGGAGUUGGUUCAUUGCACUCAGAAAAAUCCUAGCUCCAAGCCCAACCCUAACCCUAGCUCCAACACUAACCCUAACUCCAACCCUAACCCUAACCCUAACCCUAGCUCCAACCCUAACCCUAACCCUAACCCAUGCAUUCCUAUGGGAAAAAAUCAAAUUUUUUUAGGAACGUCCUAGAGACUCGGGAGUUGGUUCAUUGCACUCAGAAAAAUCCUAGCUGCAAGCCCAACCCUAACCCUAGCUCCAACACUAACCCUAACUCCAACCCUAACCCUAACCCUAACCCUAACCCUAGCUCCAACCCUAACCCUAACCCUAACCCAUGCAUUCCUAUGGGAAAAAAUCAAAUUUUUUUAGGAAGGUCCUAGAGACUCGGGAGUUGGUUCAUUGCACUCAGAAAAAUCCUAGCUCCAAGCCCAACCCUAACCCUAGCUCCAACACUAACCCUAACUCCAACCCUAACCCUAACCCUAACCCUAGCUCCAACCCUAACCCUAACCCUAACCCAUGCAUUCCUAUGGGAAAAAAUCAAUUUUUUUUAGGAACGUCCUAGAGACUCGGGAGUUGGUUCAUUGCACUCAGAAAAAUCCUAGCUCCAAGCCCAACCCUAACCCUGGCUCCAACACUAACCCUAACUCCAACCCUAACCCUAACCCUAACCCUAGCUCCAACCCUAACCCUAACCCUAACCCAUGCAUUCCUAUGGGAAAAAAUCAAAUUUUUUUAGGAACGUCCUAGAGACUCGGGAGUUGGUUCAUUGCACUCAGAAAAAUCCUAGCUCCAAGCCCAACCCUAACCCUAGCUCCAACACUAACCCUAACUCCAACCCUAACCCUAACCCUAUCCCUAGCUCCAACCCUAACCCUAACCCUAACCCAUGCAUUCCUAUGGGAAAAAAUCAAUUUUUUUUAGGAACGUCCUAGAGACUCGGGAGUUGGUUCAUUGCACUCAGAAAAAUCCUAGCUCCAAGCCCAACCCUAACCCUGGCUCCAACACUAACCCUAACUCCAACCCUAACCCUAACCCUAACCCUAGCUCCAACCCUAACCCUAACACUAACCCAUGCAUUCCUAUGGGAAAAAAUCAAAUUUUUUUAGGAACGUCCUAGAGACUCGGGAGUUGGUUCAUUGCACUCAGAAAAAUCCUAGCUCCAAGCCCAACCCUAACCCUAGCUCCAACACUAACCCUAACUCCAACCCUAACCCUAACCCUAACCCUAGCUCCAACCCUAACCCUAACCCUAACCCAUGCAUUCCUAUGGGAAAAAAUCAAUUUUUUUUAGGAACGUCCUAGAGACUCGGGAGUUGGUUCAUUGCACUCAGAAAAAUCCUAGCUCCAAGCCCAACCCUAACCCUAGCUCCAACACUAACCCUAACUCCAACCCUAACCCUAACCCUAACCCUAGCUCCAACCCUAACCCUAACCCUAACCCAUGCAUUCCUAUGGGAAAAAAUCAAAUUUUUUUAGGAAGGUCCUAGAGACUCGGGAGUUGGUUCAUUGCACUCAGAAAAAUCCUAGCUCCAAGCCCAACCCUAACCCUAGCUCCAACACUAACCCUAACUCCAACCCUAACCCUAACCCUAACCCUAACCCUUGCUCCAACCCUAACCCUAACCCUAACCCAUGCAUUCCUAUGGGAAAAAAAUCAAAUUUUUUAGGAAGGUCCUAGAGACUCGGGAGUUGGUUCAUUGCACUCAGAAAAAUCCUAGCUCCAAGCCCAACCCUAACCCUAGCUCCAACACUAACCCUAACUCCAACCCUAACCCUAACCCUAACCCUAGCUCCAACCCUAACCCUAACCCUAACCCAUGCAUUCCUAUGGGAAAAAAUCAAAUUUUUUUAGGAACGUCCUAGAGACUCGGGAGUUGGUUCAUUGCACUCAGAAAAAUCCUAGCUCCAAGCCCAACCCUAACCCUAGCUCCAACACUAACCCUAACUCCAACCCUAACCCUAACCCUAACCCUAGCUCCAACCCUAACCCUAACCCUAACCCAUGCAUUCCUAUGGGAAAAAAUCAAUUUUUUUAGGAACGUCCUAGAGACUCGGGAGUUGGUUCAUUGCACUCAGAAAAAUCCUAGCUCCAAGCCCAACCCUAACCCUAGCUCCAACACUAACCCUAACUCCAACCCUAACCCUAACCCUAACCCUAGCUCCAACCCUAACACUAACCCAUGCAUUCCUAUGGGAAAAAAUCAAAUUUUUUUAGGAACGUCCUAGAGACUCGGGAGUUGGUUCAUUGCACUCAGAAAAAUCCUAGCUGCAAGCCCAACCCUAACCCUAGCUCCAACACUAACCCUAACUCCAACCCUAACCCUAACCCUAGCUCCAACCCCACACCUAACCCUAACCCUUGCUCCAACCCUAACCCUAACCCUAACCCAUGCAUUCCUAUGGGAAAAAAUCAAUUUUUUUUAGGAACAUCCUAGAGACUCGGGAGUUGGUUCAUUGCACUCAGAAAAAUCCUAGCUCCAAGCCCAACCCUAACCCUUGCUCCAACACUAACCCUAACCCUAACUCCAACCCUAACCCUAACCCUAACCCUAGCUCCAACCCUAACCCUAACCCUAACCCAUGCAUUCCUAUGGGAAAAAAUCAAAUUUUUUUAGGAACGUCCUAGAGACUCGGGAGUUGGUUCAUUGCACUCAGAAAAAUCCUAGCUCCAAGCCCAACCCUAACCCUAGCUCCAACACUAACCCUAACUCCAACCCUAACCCUAACCCUAACCCUAGCUCCAACCCUAACCCUAACCCUAACCCAUGCAUUCCUAUGGGAAAAAAUCAAAUUUUUUUAGGAACGUCCUAGAGACUCGGGAGUUGGUUCAUUGCACUCAGAAAAAUCCUAGCUCCAAGCCCAACCCUAACCCUAACUCCAACACUAACCCUAACUCCAACCCUAACCCUAACCCUAACCCUAGCUCCAACCCUAACCCUAACCCUAACCCAUGCAUUCCUAUGGGAAAAAAUCAAAUUUUUUUAGGAAGGUCCUAGAGACUCGGGAGUUGGUUCAUUGCACUCAGAAAAAUCCUAGCUCCAAGCCCAACCCUAACCCUAGCUCCAACACUAACCCUAACUCCAACCCUAACCCUAACCCUAACCCUAGCUCCAACCCUAACCCUAACCCUAACCCAUGCAUUCCUAUGGGAAAAAAUCAAAUUUUUUUAGGAACGUCCUAGAGACUCGGGAGUUGGUUCAUUGCACUCAGAAAAAUCCUAGCUCCAAGCCCAACCCUAACCCUAGCUCCAACACUAACCCUAACUCCAACCCUAACCCUAACCCUAACCCUAGCUCCAACCCUAACCCUAACCCUAACCCAUGCAUUCCUAUGGGAAAAAAAUCAAAUUUUUUUAGGAAGGUCCUAGAGACUCGGGAGUUGGUUCAUUGCACUCAGAGAAAUCCUAGCUCCAAGCCCAACCCUAACCCUAGCUCCAACACUAACCCUAACUCCAACCCUAACCCUAACCCUAACCCUAGCUCCAACCCUAACCCUAACCCUAACCCUAACCCAUGCAUUCCUAUGGGAAAAAAUCAAUUUUUUUUAGGAACGUCCUAGAGACUCGGGAGUUGGUUCAUUGCACUCAGAAAAAUCCUAGCUCCAAGCCCAACCCUAACCCUAGCUCCAACACUAACCCUAACUCCAACCCUAACCCUAACCCUAACCCUAGCUCCAACCCUAACCCUAACACUAACCCAUGCAUUCCUAUGGGAAAAAAUCAAUUUUUUUUAGGAACGUCCUAGAGACUCGGGAGUUGGUUCAUUGCACUCAGAAAAAUCCUAGCUCCAAGCCCAACCCUAACCCUAGCUCCAACACUAACCCUAACUCCAACCCUAACCCUAACCCUAACCCUAGCUCCAACCCUAACCCUAACCCUAACCCAUGCAUUCCUAUGGGAAAAAAUCAAUUUUUUUAGGAACGUCCUAGAGACUCGGGAGUUGGUUCAUUGCACUCAGAAAAAUCCUAGCUCCAAGCCCAACCCUAACCCUAGCUCCAACACUAACCCUAACUCCAACCCUAACCCUAACCCUAACCCUAGCUCCAACCCUAACCCUAACCCUAACCCAUGCAUUCCUAUGGGAAAAAAUCAAUUUUUUUAGGAACGUCCUAGAGACUCGGGAGUUGGUUCAUUGCACUCAGAAAAAUCCUAGCUGCAAGCCCAACCCUAACCCUAGCUCCAACACUAACCCUAACUCCAACCCUAACCCUAACCCUAACCCUAACCCUAGCUCCAACCCUAACCCUAACCCUAACCCAUGCAUUCCUAUGGGAAAAAAUCAAAUUUUUUUAGGAAGGUCCUAGAGACUCGGGAGUUGGUUCAUUGCACUCAGAAAAAUCCUAGCUCCAAGCCCAACCCUAACCCUAGCUCCAACACUAACCCUAACUCCAACCCUAACCCUAACCCUAACCCUAGCUCCAACCCUAACCCUAACCCUAACCCAUGCAUUCCUAUGGGAAAAAAUCAAUUUUUUUAGGAACGUCCUAGAGACUCGGGAGUUGGUUCAUUGCACUCAGAAAAAUCCUAGCUCCAAGCCCAACCCUAACCCUGGCUCCACACUAACCCUAACUCCAACCCUAACCCUAACCCUAACCCUAGCUCCAACCCUAACCCUAACCCUAACCCAUGCAUUCCUAUGGGAAAAAAUCAAAUUUUUUUAGGAACGUCCUAGAGACUCGGGAGUUGGUUCAUUGCACUCAGAAAAAUCCUAGCUCCAAGCCCAACCCUAACCCUAGCUCCAACACUAACCCUAACUCCAACCCUAACCCUAACCCUAACCCUAGCUCCAACCCUAACCCUAACCCUAACCCAUGCAUUCCUAUGGGAAAAAAAUCAAUUUUUUUAGGAACGUCCUAGAGACUCGGGAGUUGGUUCAUUGCACUCAGAAAAAUCCUAGCUCCAAGCCCAACCCUAACCCUGGCUCCAACACUAACCCUAACUCCAACCCUAACCCUAACCCUAACCCUAGCUCCAACCCUAACCCUAACACUAACCCAUGCAUUCCUAUGGGAAAAAAUCAAAUUUUUUUAGGAACGUCCUAGAGACUCGGGAGUUGGUUCAUUGCACUCAGAAAAAUCCUAGCUCCAAGCCCAACCCUAACCCUAGCUCCAACACUAACCCUAACUCCAACCCUAACCCUAACCCUAACCCUAGCUCCAACCCUAACCCUAACCCUAACCCAUGCAUUCCUAUGGGAAAAAAUCAAUUUUUUUUAGGAACGUCCUAGAGACUCGGGAGUUGGUUCAUUGCACUCAGAAAAAUCCUAGCUCCAAGCCCAACCCUAACCCUAGCUCCAACACUAACCCUAACUCCAACCCUAACCCUAACCCUAACCCUAGCUCCAACCCUAACCCUAACCCUAACCCAUGCAUUCCUAUGGGAAAAAAUCAAAUUUUUUUAGGAACGUCCUAGAGACUCGGGAGUUGGUUCAUUGCACUCAGAAAAAUCCUAGCUGCAAGCCCAACCCUAACCCUAGCUCCAACACUAACCCUAACUCCAACCCUAACCCUAACCCUAACCCUAACCCUUGCUCCAACCCUAACCCUAACCCUAACCCAUGCAUUCCUAUGGGAAAAAAUCAAAUUUUUUAGGAACGUCCUAGAGACUCGGGAGUUGGUUCAUUGCACUCAGAAAAAUCCUAGCUCCAAGCCCAACCCUAACCCUAGCUCCAACACUAACCCUAACUCCAACCCUAACCCUAACCCUAACCCUAGCUCCAACCCUAACCCUAACCCUAACCCAUGCAUUCCUAUGGGAAAAAAUCAAUUUUUUUUAGGAACGUCCUAGAGACUCGGGAGUUGGUUCAUUGCACUCAGAAAAAUCCUAGCUCCAAGCCCAACCCUAACCCUAGCUCCAACACUAACCCUAACUCCAACCCUAACCCUAACCCUAACCCUAGCUCCAACCCUAACCCUAAC
rnacentral:lncRNA from 1 species